rnacentral:lncRNA from 1 species
UCUCAAAAGAUGUCAGGGAGAAUUCCAUCCUCCUCUGUUUUAUCUGAAAAACUUCAGGAUCGAAUGUUUGACAGAAUUCUUCGUAAAAACAUCUGAUCAUAAAGUUUUCUCUAUGAGAAUGUUUUUUGAUUAAUUCCUUUUCAUGAGAGAGUGAGAGAUGUGGAGAUCAAAGAUCUGCAGUCAGAGUAUCAGCUAGAGAAGAUCGAUUACUUGGCCACCAUUUGUUGGCAAAAAUGUAACUUCAUGCUCUUCCAGCAGCUCCUGGAGCAGGUGCAGCCACUGAUUCACCGGGACUGUUAAUUUCUGCAACCUGGAGAAGAUUAGGCGCAAAUCCUGCUGGGAUGAGGAUAAUGGCUUCUGGAAGAUUCUAGAGCCCAUCAUCUUAAAAACCAGUCUCCCAGUAGUUUCAACAGGGCCACAGAACAAACCAGGCUACAAAACCUCUGCAGGAGACAACGGCGAACCAUGCAUGCGGGAGCAAGACCCCUAGAAGCUGAUGCUCAGUUGGUCGGACUGUGAAAAUACUGCCAGUAGCUACUUCGGUUCAAGCUGGCCACCCAGACCCUCUGCACAGAGACCCCCGAGGAGCCUCAUGCAUCCAGAGUCGCUGCCAGGCCUGCACAGCUUCUCUGCCCUCCCGCCCCGCUGCAGCUCCGGCCUUUCCACCUCGAAUCCCCCCACAUCCCCUUCUUGGAGGUCACGCAGCAGGAAAAGCAGAAGCGCCUUUGGCGGUGGGCCCCGCAGCUGCCUGCCGCUGCCCUGCCUUUGAGCUUCCCAGACAGCCCGGCCAGGCCUCCCCGCACCCGUGACCAGAGGCUCAAGGAGGUCCAGGCCGGGGCCGCCCUCCAGGCCUCGGUAGUGUUGCCCCUGCUCGCUGCCGCUGCGCCCCGGCGGCGGCUUGUGCGCAGAAACCUCCGCGCUGCCUCGGGGCCUUUGCAGCAUCCGCACAGAGCCAAGCAGCUUCCACGUGGAUCGAACUCGAACUCGGCAUCUUGACUGAACAUUGUGUCCCCGGCAUCCCUGCGCGGGAAGUCUUGGGGCUGGGUCAUGUUUAUUCGUGGGACGCAUGCCACAGCAUGGCUUGAUAAAUGCUGUGUAGGUCUGUGGCUGGGAUCUGAACUGGCGAGGCCUGGGCCACUGAAGCGGAGUGCAUGAACUUAACUGCUACGCCGCCACCAGGGAUCUUCUGAAGAAUGCACUGUCAAGCUGUAUGUGUGUUUUGUGCAGCUCUGAAAUAAAUCUUGGCUUGGUCAUCUAUACCUGUGUGGCCUAGGAUAAUUCUUAUGAGGAGAUAUUGUAUGUGAAGUGGUUAGAAGAAUGCCUGGCACAUAAUAUGCACAGAACAAAUGUUGGAUGUCAGCAUUUUGAAACUGAGGAUGAAGGAGUUGAAGUUUCCUUGGAUUAGGAUAAAACAGCCUGUGCCUACAAAGUGAACGUGGGAAACCAAGACUUUGACUGGAUAUUUCUUUACACACUGAAAAUUCAUUCACCCUACUGCCACUUCUCAGGACCUGUGACGGGGAAUGAAAAUCCAAGCUGCCUUUGAGAUAUCACCCUGAAGCUUGGGCUCUAGACCUCCUGCAGCAUCGCCUCUGCUGUAUUCUAUUAGUCAGAGCAAUUUUCGGGGCCACUCCAAAUUUAAGAGGUCAGGAAAUAGACUCCAACUGUUGAUGAGAGGAACUAAAAAUGAUUUGUGGCCGUAUUUAAUCUACCACACUAUCCUAUUCCUGCUAUUAAAAUUCCUUUGGGAUGAUCUUUGAAAAUAAUUUUGUGAAUAAAACAGGGCAAAAUUUUCAAUGAAUUUGUCUAGAAUAAACCAUACAUUGUCAAGUCUGUAGCUCUUGCUGGUUGUAAGCUCUUUAUCCAUGACUCUCACCUUAUUCACAUUUCUAUCCCUUCUAUUUAGUGUAGUUCCUGAGAGAGAGUAUGCAGAAAAGUACUUGUUUUAUGAAUGAUUGAUUAAACCAUAACAUUCUUUCUACAAAAGUCAUAAAAUGUCUAAAACGUAAAUGUUGAAAUCUUAUCUCUACUUCUCGGGCCAAAGGGCCUCCAACAGGCUUACUGUUCUAAAUAAUCCCCAAACAUUAAUAAGUAAGAGCAACUAUAUUCAAAGAGUUUUAUACAUUCAAUUAAGUAUGUUUUAGAUGUUUAAUGUGAUACCACAAAUAAGACGCCCUCAAUUUAGUUGUCUUUCUCAAGGUGGACAAAAUGAUUGUGCACAUUGGGGCACACCACAGAAGAUACUUUUCAAAAGAAAAC